rnacentral:sRNA from 1 species
UCUGGCAACCCUAUCUUGACUCAUGUUUUCUAUCUUUUCCCCAGGAUGUGAUUGACGUCAUGAAAAGGAGUGAAAGCUGGACAUUGAAGAAGCCAAAAUCUGUUUCCAAGAAACUAAAGAGUGUAUUCCGAGUACCAGAUCUGAGUGGGAUGCUGCAAGUUCUUAAAGAGCUGACAGAUGUCCAGUACUACUGGGUGGACGUGAUGCUGAAUCCAGGCAGUGCCACUUCGAAUGUUGCUGUUUCUGUGGAUCAGAGACAAGUGAAAACUGUACGCACCUGCACGUUUAAGAAUUCAAAUCCAUGUGAUUUUUCUGCUUUUGGUGUCUUCGGCUGCCAAUAUUUCUCUUCGGGGAAAUAUUACUGGGAAGUAGAUGUGUCUGGAAAGAUUGCCUGGAUCCUGGGCGUACACAGUAAAAUAAGUAGUCUGAAUAAAAGGAAGAGCUCUGGGUUAGCUUUUGA